rnacentral:misc_RNA from 1 species
GCAGGAGCUAACUCAAGUUUUUAAAUCUCCAUCUGUUAGCACAGAUUCAUCUUCUGGAUUGAACACCGCUUCUGGUUGUGGUGCUUUGUUGACAAUCCGCAGGGAAGUGCCUGCAGGUAACUUCUCUCCAUUCUUUUCGGACUCGUAUGCAAAAUCACACCGAACAGAUAUAUUUGUGGACUACCAUCGGCUGUUGUUGGAAAACACUUUCCGUCUGCUCUACAGCUUGAUACGACCAGAGAAACACGACAAGGCUGGAGAGAAAGAGAAGCUCUACAAGAUGCCUUCUGGUAAAGAUUUGAAGCUAGAUGGAUAUCAGGAUGUUCU